rnacentral:rRNA from 1 species
GACGAACGCUGGCGGCGUGCCUAAUACAUGCAAGUAGAACGCUGAAGGAGGAGCUUGCUUCUCUGGAUGAGUUGCGAACGGGUGAGUAACGCGUAGGUAACCUGCCUGGUAGCGGGGGAUAACUAUUGGAAACGAUAGCUAAUACCGCAUAAGAGUAGAUGUUGCAUGACAUUUGCUUAAAAGGUGCAAUUGCAUCACUACCAGAUGGACCUGCGUUGUAUUAGCUAGUUGGUGAGGUAACGGCUCACCAAGGCAACGAUACAUAGCCGACCUGAGAGGGUGAUCGGCCACACUGGGACUGAGACACGGCCCAGACUCCUACGGGAGGCAGCAGUAGGGAAUCUUCGGCAAUGGACGGAAGUCUGACCGAGCAACGCCGCGUGAGUGAAGAAGGUUUUCGGAUCGUAAAGCUCUGUUGUAAGAGAAGAACGAGUGUGAGAGUGGAAAGUUCAC